rnacentral:rRNA from 1 species
UGACUGACCGAUAGUGAACCAGUACCGUGAGGGAAAGGCGAAAAGAACCCCGGCGAGGGGAGUGAAAAAGAACCUGAAACCGUGUACGUACAAGCAGUGGGAGCACGCUUAGGCGUGUGACUGCGUACCUUUUGUAUAAUGGGUCAGCGACUUAUAUUCUGUAGCAAGGUUAACCGAAUAGGGGAGCCGAAGGGAAACCGAGUCUUAACUGGGCGUUAAGUUGCAGGGUAUAGACCCGAAACCCGGUGAUCUAGCCAUGGGCAGGUUGAAGGUUGGGUAACACUAACUGGAGGACCGAACCGACUAAUGUUGAAAAAUUAGCGGAUGACUUGUGGCUGGGGGUGAAAGGCCAAUCAAACCGGGAGAUAGCUGGUUCUCCCCGAAAGCUAUUUAGGUAGCGCCUCGUGAAUUCAUCUCCGGGGGUAGAGCACUGUUUCGGCAAGGGGGUCAUCCCGACUUACCAACCCGAUGCAAACUGCGAAUACCGGAGAAUGUUAUCACGGGAGACACACGGCGGGUGCUAACGUCCGUCGUGAAGAGGGAAACAACCCAGACCGCCAGCUAAGGUCCCAAAGUCAUGGUUAAGUGGGAAACGAUGUGGGAAGGCCCAGACAGCCAGGAUGUUGGCUUAGAAGCAGCCAUCAUUUAAAGAAAGCGUAAUAGCUCACUGGUCGAGUCGGCCUGCGCGGAAGAUGUAACGGGGCUAAACCAUG